UAUCAGCUGUAUCUCGUACACAGAUUUACAUCGAGAUGAUUUGCAUCGCAGCACAAGCUUCAGCAGGUUUUAUAUCUCUGUGAGUCUGAACUCUGAGAAUCUGAACCAACAGCAACCAUGAGCUUCAUCACCAUCUUCAUCUGGAUCUUCACUAGCUGCUGUUUCACAGAGUGUAGAGGACAGAUCAGCGUCACUCAGAGUCCCUCAACGACAGCAGCUCAACCAGGAGAAACAGUGAAGAUCAGCUGUAGAACCAGUACAGAUGUGUACAGGAAUCUCUUUGGGACACACUUUCUUAGCUGGUACUUACAGAAACCUGGAGAAGCUCCUAAACGCCUGAUUUAUGAAGCAAGCACCCUCCAGUCAGGAACUCCAUCUAGAUUCAGUGGCAGUGGAUCUAACAGUGAUUUCACUCUGACCAUCAGUGGAGUCCAGACUGAAGAUGCUGGACAUUAUUACUGUCAGAGUUUCCACUGGCCGGGUAGCACUAGGCUGUUCACACAGUGAUUGUGAGUGGUACAAAAACCUGUGUCAGUCAGAGUCACAGUGACUGAACUGAUGCUGCAGCUGAUCAAACACUAUCACUCACUACUGACACACAGAGACCAAACACAGAACUACACAUGAGCUCACAACUGAGUUAGGACUCACAUCAGCUCUAUUAGACUCAGAUCUGUCCUGGGACAGACGGGUUUGACUCAGUUAUGCUCUGAUUUUGUGAUGAAUCGAUAUCAAAUCAAUCCAAAAACACACAA